rnacentral:tRNA from 1 species
GGCCCAUUCGUAUAUCGGUUAGUACGUAAGAUUUUCAUUCUUAAAAGAGCAGUUCGACUCUGCUAUGGGCUACCA